rnacentral:lncRNA from 1 species
UAUACAUUUGAAAUACGUAUGAAAUACGAUUGAUAUACAUUUGAUAUACAUUUGAUAUAUGUACGAAAUACUAUUGAAAUACAUUUGAGAUACGUACGAAAUACAUUUGAGAUACAUUUGAUAUACGUACGAAAUACAUUUGAUAUACGUAUGAAGUAUAUUUGAUACACGUAUGAAGUACAUUUGAUAUAUAUAUAUGAAAUACAUUUGAUAUACGUACGAAAUACUAUUGAAAUACAUUUGAGAUACGUACGAAAUACAUUUGAUAUAUGUAUGAGAUACAUUUGAAAUACGUUCGAUAUACGAUUGAAAUACGUUUGAAAUACGAGGGAAAUACUAUUGAAACAUGAUGAAUUAUACGAUUGAGGUAUGAUUGAAGUAUGAAUGAGUUAUAAUUGAGAUGCAAUUGUGACAUGAUCGAGAUAUGUUUAUGAUAUGUUUGAGAUAUAAUUGAAAUGUGAUUGAAAUAGAAUUGAGACACAAUUAUUGAGAUAUUAUGCUGAUAACGAUAAUGAGAUAUAGUUGAGAUAUGAUGAAUCAUAUGUUGAGAUGUGAUUGAAAGCUCAUUUACUUGCACACGUAUAUUAGUGCUCCCGCCCAGAGUUAGAGGCACAGCCUUCACGUGUAUGUUCACCUCCCGCACCGCAUGCUCGCCUUGGAUCCAAGUUAGGUGCAUAGCCUGUCGUAUAGACCACUUAUGUGGGUUCGACUUGUAGGUGACCCGCGAUUUAUCGCACAGUUUCACGUGAUUGUAGCACUAGAGCAUAUUAUGAUAUAUACAGUGAUGAGUUGCAGACCACGUGAGGUGGUAUUGAAUGUGUGCAAGAUAUACAUGAUGUGAUGAGAUGAUUAUGAGCUAUAUAUAUACAGCCGAGGGCUGAGUUGAUUAUGAUGAGAUGAUUAUGAGCUAUAUAUGCAGCCAAGGGUUGAGUUGAUUAUGAUGAAAGAGUAUGAACUAUGUUUAUAGCCAAGCGCUGAAUUGAUUAUAUGUUAUUCUAUCAUAUGUACAUAUAGAUGAUGAGCAUUCAGUUAUGAUACUUUGGCAUGACAUACAUUCAUAUUGCCUAGCAUGAAUUUGAGAUAUAUUACGUAUAUGUUACUCCAUCAUAUGUACAUAGAGAUGAUGAGCAUUCAGUUACGAUACUUUGGCAUGACAUACAUUCAUAUUGUCUAGCAUGAUUUGAGAUAUAUUACGUAUAUGAGUAUAUACUUUAUUUUUAGGAAACUAUACUUGUUUUAUGGCGAGGGGUUAGUAAAUUCAAAGAGAAAAGAAAGUUUUGAAGAAGAAUGUUUUGCUGACCCACUCAACUUUGUUUUGCGCCCCUCCAGGUUCGAGAUAUUACAAGUUAUGGUGGUCACGAGGAAUCCAACGGUGUUCUGGCAGAAUUGACAAAGUAGGACUCACCUUCGGGUGUUUCAUCUUAGCAAUUGUAUUUUAAAGCUUCCGAACUGUGUAAAUGGCUACGUCACUCUCACGUGACGGCCAGCAUGCCUUCAGUUAUGAUACUUUGGCAUGACAUACAUUCAUAUUGUCUAGCAUGGUUUGAGAUAUAUUACGUAUAUGUGUAUAUACUUUAUUUUUAGGAAACUAUACUUGUUUUACGGCGAGAGGUUAGUAAAUUCAAAGAGAAAAGAAAGUUUUGAAGAAGAAUGUUUUGCUGACCCACUCAACUUUGUUUUGCGCCCCUCCAGGUUCGAGAUAUUAUAAGUUAUGGUGGCCACGAGGAAUCCAACGGUGUUCUGGCAGAAUUGACAAAAGUAGGACUCACCUUCGGGUGUUUCAUCUUAGCAAUUGUAUUUUAAAGCUUCCGAACUGUGUAAAUGGCUACGUCACUCUCACGUGACGGCCAGCAUGCCCUCCUUCGGGACGGGGUGUGUCA